UGUAUAUGUCGAUAAUGUUGACUUUCCUGAUUGUAAUAAUGUCAGAAAUAUUCAAAAACAACAUUAUUGCUAUCAGGACAGUCAACAUUACCGACA
rnacentral:sRNA from 1 species